UACGAAGGGGGCUAGCGUUGCUCGGAAUCACUGGGCGUAAAGCGCACGUAGGCGGAUUGCUAAGUCAGGGGGUGAAAAUCCUGGAGCUCAACUCCAGAACUGCCUUUGAUACUGGCGAUCUUGAGUCCGGGAGAGGUGAGUGGAACUGCGAGUGUAGAGGUGAAAUUCUAGAUAUUCGCAAGAACACCAGUGGCGAAGGCGGCUCACUGGCCCGGUACU
rnacentral:rRNA from 1 species